UCUGUACAAUGACAGUUUGUAGUAACACUGCCACUCUCACUAAAGAUCUUUUUACAGUUCAUUAAAAAGAACUAGGAAUGGGGUGAAAAAUGACACAAGAAGAGCAGUCAUGAACGCCCCAUCUACUCCUCACAUUUAACAUGUGCCUUUGGUGAUGUAAUCAUAAUCAGAUUCCAUUAAUUGUAUCAUGUGUAACAACAGCACACACUGCCAUUAGGCUGUGGUCUUGAAGCCUUGAAAUUUCCCUCCUCAAUCCCUUUACAUCUAAAAUAUUGCUGUUAACUUGAAGCGCCAUUUUGGCAGUAAAGAUUUGUGCACGUUUUUCUAAAAAUCUGUACAGGCCAUAUAUGAGGACAACUAAAUGGAGAGAUCCAAUCAGAGCUCAUCUAUGAUGCAUCAAGAGGAAGGAAGUGUAACACACUCAGGAAAACACUGUGUACCCCUUCCACCCACUCUCUUGGACUCCCGGUCUCGGACAGCGGUGCAGCAUCGAGGUUCAGCUGCGUCGUUAAACUGCUACAACUGCUUCGUUGUUUUAAUAUAUAAAGUCGGGUCCAUAAGUAUUUGGACAGAGACAUGUGACUGAUAAGUUUGGCCUGUUUUCUCGUUAUUUCAUUUACAAUCAUGAGACAUCUUCAUGAAUGUAAAUACAGACCUCAAGAUGCAAACCACUGGUAACACUGAAGAACAGAAAGGCCAGAUUACACUUUAAAAAAGCCUGCCCAGUUCUGAUACAAGAUAAACUUGUAGCAGAAUGAUUGGAAGAGAAGGGUAUAGAGAAGCAGGUGGAAGUAUUAUGGCAUGGACAUGUAUGGCUGCCAAUGGAAUUGAGUCACUGGUGUUUAUUUAUGAUGUGACUGCUGAUAGCUGGAGCAGGAUGAAUUCUGAAGUGUAUAGAGAGAUGCUUUCUGCUCAGAUUCAGUCAAAUGCUGAAAAACUAAUAAUACAGCGCUUCACAGUACAGAUGGAUAAUAGCACAAACCACACCGUGAAAGCAACCCAAGAGCUUCUUAAGGCAAAGAAAUGAAAUGUUCUUAAAUGGCGGGUGCAGUAAAGACCUGGCAAAGCAUCUCAUGGGAGGAAACUCAGUUUGGUGAUGUCCAAGGGUUCCUGACUUCAGGCAGUCAUUGACUGCAAAGGAUUUGCAUCCAAGUAUUAGGGCUGCAUAGUAGGGGACUAUGGUUGCUGCUAUUUCCUUGGAACUGCAAUUACCACAUACAAUUUUGCACUUGGGUCUCCUUUGGUGAACAGUGGACUAGUUCAACAAAGACUUUAUGUAAAAAACAUAAUGAGCUUUCUUUUACUUUCACACUAUCCGUUUUUACCCAGAUGAGGACGGGUUCCCUUCUGAGUCUGGUUCCUCUUAAGGUUUCUUCCUCAUAUCUUAGGGAGUUUUUCCUCACCACCGUCACCACCGGAUUGCUCAAUAGGGAUAAAUUCACACAUUUAAAAUCUGUAUCCUGUGUUGAUAUGUUUCUCUAAAGCUGCUUUGAGACAAUGUCCAUUGUUAAAAUGGACUAUACAAAUAAAAUUGAAUUGAAUAGAAUAUUAAAAAUAGUCCGUAUAACUUAAGGCAGUCAUUGGCUGCAAAAGAUUUGCAUCCAAGUAUUAAAAAUAAUCUGUAUAACUGUUUGUUUGUCCAAUUAGUUUUGAGCCUGUGAAAAUGGAGGGGCUAUGUAAAAAAUGGCUGUAAUUCCUAAACAGUUAAUGCAGUAUUUUUGUUAAACCUUUUUAAAGCUGAAAGUCUACACUUCAAUCACAUCUUGAUUGCUUCAUUUCAAAUCCAUUGUAGUGGUUUUACAGAGGCAAGAUUACCAAAAUUGUGUCACUGACUAAAUACUUAUGGACCCAACUGUAUAGUUUUUAAUCUAAUGUCAGCUCGAUUAGAAAAGAUUGGAUUUGUAUUUCAAUACAGACCAAGCACUACUUUGAAUCAGUGACACAGUGGAAACCCAUGAAGAAAAUAUAUCUAAGACACGAGUUGUACUGUCAUCAUAUGGACAUAUCUUUCCAAAAAAGAACUUCUCGCCUCCUUCCAGUAACCUGCAUUCUAUCUAUACUUUCUUGGUGUAAAACAGCAACUGCAGGUUUGUUGCAUCACGCUGCAGAAGAAUGUCUAGAUGGCAGCUUGCUACUUAAUAUACGUGGAAGGGAUCUUGUAGCUUCAGAAGCCAGGUAUCAUUUGAUCUGUUACAAAACCUACACAAGAUGUAUAUUCAGUUGGUGGAAAGGAAGACCAUCAAGAACACCUGCAUCAGAAAGGUUAUUGCCAAUUUUGUAUAUAGGUUUUAAAGGAAAAGCUACUGAAAAAUCUUGAGGUUCUGAGGUAUUCAAGAUUAAAUGCUCUGUUUAAAAGAAAGUGAAAGGACUGGCAUCAAAUCAUACAAAGCCAGUAAGCUGAAAGUCAGGCUACAGGAGUCAUCACCUUACUUAAAUUUCAAGAGAUGCUUCAGAAAUGUUUUGGUUUAUGUAGAAGACCUGGGAACAGAAGAAGUCCUGCAUGAAAGACCUGCACCACCAACAUCAGUGGAAAGGGACUGACUGAGACACACAAUAUGGAAGUGACUGACCCAAACAUGUCCAAUGGCAAAGCAGGCACUAAACUUCUCUACUGUGCUGCCCUGACAUUAAAAGGAUGUCAUAGAGACAGCAAGCAAAGUCAGUCAGGAAUGGCCUUGGACACUGUUCUUCUAAUUCUCAAGUUCUUGAGCAUGGCACAGCUAUAGCACAGUUGCAAAUCGAGCAAAGUGACCUGAACAUCCCUCCCAAUUUAAAAUCCCUGCAACACUAAUUUGAGACAAUAGUGAUGGAGAAGAAAUAUCUGGAAAGGGAACAACACACACAACCGUGAUGGCAUCAUUAUCCAAUCCAAAGGUCGCCACUCUUCUUUCUGUUCCUCAUGCUGAGUUAACUUCAGCUCCCUCUAGUCCAUAUCACCAACUAAAUAAAAGGAAAAGGCAAUUUGGAGCAAAAACAUGGGCAAGUGAGCAACAAAAAUACUGAGAGCAAUGCUUAUUGACAGGAUUUUGCUUACUUUCGAUUGAAUGCCAAAAAGACAUCCUUCCAGGGUGGACUGGUUUCAACACCAGGUUGCAGAGGGACCUGCACCAAUUCAUCAGAUGAAUAAGAGAGCAAACCUUUCAGGUGUCCAUCCCAUUAUAGCGUGGUUCUUUGCACAUAAGGUCAACCAACUCCAAUGUAUACCUGCAGCUGCACUACAGUGAUUUUGUUGAAGAAAACAGGACUGUGGCUAUGUUUAUGCAGCAGGUGAUUGAGUAGCAGAACAAACCGCAAACAUUGGAUCAAAGAGAAAAGGUGUUCUGAAGGAUUAUGAUUCAACAAAGGUGCUCUUUAUAGGUUUACACGUACUCGGCAUGUGAGAGCAGGAAUUACCGUGGAGUGCAAAGGAAAGAAAAGCCAGGGAAGAAUUUAGCAUCCAAACAAUGGACUGAACUUCCUGAGACAAGAAAACAGGAAGUGGGAAUGAUGUAAAUAUAUAUACAGGUAGCAUCACUGGGAACUUUUGCUGUUCUGUGUGUGGCAAAAGAGAAAGUUAACCUAGCAUUUUCUCUCAACAAUGUCCAAAAAGCAGUGUUGCAUUUAUGGCACAAGAAAAUUAAUCUGAAAAGUUGGGACUAUUAUAACAAGCAAAGCAAAGGCUAGUAGAUUUUUUUUUUCUAAUGCCUAUUGUUGUUGGAUCAAUGAGAAAGAUUGACUUGAAAGAGGUGCCCAGAUAUAGCUUAGGUCCCUUGCCCUCUUCACUGGCCAGUUAUGAUGGUUCCCUCAACAAAGCAAAACUGAUGCACUUUUUUGGAGACAUUUGUACGGUGGCCAAGAAGUGCAAAACAAAUCACAAAUAUGAAAACAAAAUAACAAAUCCAAAAAAACAAAAACAAAUUCUAAACACGACGGCAAAUCUAAAAACAAAAUAACAAGUCAGAAAACACAACGACAAAUCUGAAAACAUAUUAAUAAGUCAGACAAAACGGAAAAGGUAGGUAUAUUUUUCAAAUGGAUUACUUACCGCAACCCUUUUUUUCUUACUACCUUAAAUAUAAACUCUAGAUCUUCUCAGGCUGCUGAAAUAGUGAAACUAACUACCUAGGGCCCCUACAUAGGACACUUUUCUGUAUGGUAAUGUUGUAUUUACAACACAAAAGUCUUGGACAUGAAUUAAACAUAAACAUUUGCCUGAUUAGAUUUAUAAUUUAUCAUGUUUGAGGGAAAAUUCAGAAUGCCAAUAAUAACCAUUGCAGUGACAAAAUUAAGAAUGAGCCAGUUUUUCCUCAUUUCUUAGUCAGGGCUCAAUUAACGUGAUAACAAUGAUCUGGCAAGUCACAGCCUACUGCCUAAAUCGAAAUGCGAGCAGAUAAGUCAGCACACCUCAGGACGUUGUGCAGCUCGCAGAGUGAUAAUCUGACAUUUAUACAGUAUCUCGCAAAUGUUGAACUUCCAGUGACCAGUAUGAGGGAGUGUGAGAGUGAUGACACAAAAUUUAACAUACCUGCUCCCCAUUCAUACAUGAGACCUUGUAACACUAACAAGUCACUUGACACCGGGGAGGGAAAAUGGCUAAUUGGGCCCAAUUUGGACAUUUUCACUUAGGGGUGUACUCACUUUUGUUGGCAGCAGUUUAGACAUUAAUGGUUGUGUGUUGAGUUAUUUUGAGGGGACAGCAAAUUUACACUGUUAUACAAGCUGUACACUCACUACUUUACAUUGUAGCAAAGUGUCAUUUCUUCAGUGUUGUCACAUUAAAAGAUAUAAUCAAAUAUUUACAAAAAUGUGAGGGGUGUACUCACUUUUGUGAGAUACUGUAGGUCUGGCCACAGAAUACAACCUCGUAAAAACUGAAAGCUCCUUAAGGCAUACAUUACCCAACACCGUGAGAGACUCUUGACCUCCAUGGCACAAAUUCCUUGCUCUAAACCAUGUGGAACCACCUUGAAAAUCUCAGGUGAAUUACCUUUACUUCUGUGCAGCAUUUACAUUACCACUUAGACGAGUCUCAGUAAUAUUGUCAACUGUCUGUGAAGCAACUUUAGAAUGAGUUCCUCUUCAGCACUGAACCCCAUAACACUACCAGCUCCUCACAAAGGGUUUGGUGUUUCAGAGUUGUACUCUGUGCAAUUCAUUUUUGGUUCACAAGAUCUGUGGGUUUUCUAUGUUCCUUAUAGUCUGCCACCUCUAUUUAUUCUUGUUCUUUUCAUAGCUUUUCAUACUCCAUUUUAUAUAUAUAAAAAAGUAUACAUUUGUAUUCAAAUCCAAACCCACAGUCUUUUACCAGUCUUGUAUUCAUACAGUUAAAUUCUGUCUAGAAUGUAUGUCUUGUUCUACAGUAGCAGCUCUUUAUUUCACCUCAUUUUGGAAUUGACACACUUACAGAAGGUCUUAGCAGCCAUCGCCAUGUCCUUCUGAUGGCCAUACAGUGAAUCAAUAAGGUGUAGGUGUUGCUGCUGAUGUCCAAUUCAGUUCAAUUUUUAUUUGUAUAGCAAAUAACACUUCUUUUGUUAUUAUAUUAAACAAUAUAAUAAAUAUACUUAACAGUAUAUUCUCACAAAGCGACUUGGAAGUAGAUUUAUGCUCCAUUCGAUUAAAGCUUGUAACUCUGACUUACUCCGACCUCUGACUAGGAAAAGCCAAAUAAAAUACCCCCUCAACUUGUACCUCCACAAGUAUUUGCUUUAGAUCAAUCAACAUACAGACAUAAGAAUUAGCUGGUUUGAUUGUUGCUAUAAAAAAAAAAGAUUAACAUGGAGGCAUCUAUAUUUUAUCUUUCCACACUUUUUAGCUUGAACGUAUGGAGGUCAAAAACUAUGUAAUUCCAAGUUCCGCAUUCCCACUUCCGAGCUAAGUCUAAUGCGGCGUUAGAAUCCUAAUUAGCAAGUCUGAGAUGACUGUUGUGAGGACAAACUCCCUGAGAUGAAAUGAGGAAGAACUGUCUGAGGAACUACAUUUGAAGUACAGUAAUUAGAAGGCUAUUCAAAAGCCGUGGCUGUGUAGGAGAUCGCUCUGCCUUCUGGAGGCCUAUUAUGGAACGUUCCACUAAGAAAAGACCUUCUGUCAGGUGGAAAAAUAAUCUCAUUCAACCAGUGAGGACUGUUGGGAGCCCAGUCUUGUUUCUCAGUCUGGGGCAUUUCUUACUAGAGGAUAUCUUCAAUAGAAGAAAAGUUUUACUAUACUGCAUUCAUUUACAGGAAGUUCCAUACUUUCUAGUGCCUCUGGUCAUCCAUCAUUUUUACAGACUGUGUUACAGUACAAGCUUUUUCCUAAUCAAAUUUGUUUAAAUAUUUUUUCCAUUUCACAAUGAGUUUUCUAAUACCAAAUUUUCUCGCUCCAGAACCGAAUGAUGAUGUGUCUAAAGUCUUCACUUGCCGUUGGUGUUCACUGUCCUAUACGUCUCAAAUUUACCUCCAUAAACACAUCAGAAGAUGCCACAUUAAAGAAUAUGUGAAGCUGAUUAUAUCAGGAGAGAUUAAAUAUGAAAUUUCCACAAGAAGCUCCAAAAGUCAGCAAACAGUCUCUGGUACUCUGAAUAUGGGUGAAUGCAGAACGAAGUCUAUUCCUGCUCACAGUGUGGGAAGAGUUUUACACCUAAGGGUAAUCUCCAAAAACACCAGAGCGUUCACACGGGAGAGAAACCGUAUCACUGCUCACAGUGUGGAAAGAGUUUUACUCAAGGGAGUCAUCUCAACGAACACCUACGCGUUCACACAGGACAGAAGCCGUAUCACUCCUCAGAAUGUAGGAAGAGUUUUACACACAAGAAAGAUCUCCAGAAACACCAGCACAUUCACAUAGCCAAGAAGCAGAUUUAAUGAAUGGAGAUCUGCUUCUUCAGAUGGAUUUAACAUAGACAUGUGCACCAACAUGCCGCCAUCAACUUGGGAUACAUUAUGUUUAAAUCAAGAAACAUUAUUUAAUUGCUGUUUCUGAAGUAAGAUUUGUUUGCUUAUGGCAUCAGUGGUUAAUAUUCAAGGUUUAGUCAUAUAAAAGAUACUCUGGGGAUGUACUGUAGCUACCCUAAUGUAUGAUGAAUGUAUCAGAAGUAUGUACGUUAGUAUGAGCUUCAUGCUUAUGAGCUGUUUUUGAUACAAAUGCAAACCCUAUCACAGAACUUUCAACUGAAAUAAAUUUUUACUCAAAAGA